rnacentral:rRNA from 1 species
AAAAACAUGUCUGGUUGAAUAUAAGAUCAGUCUAACCUGCCCACUGAGAUAUUAAAGGGCCGCGGUAAUUUGACCGUGCGAAGGUAGCAUAAUCACUAGUCUUUUAAUUGAAGACCUGUAUGAACGGUUGGACAAAAAAUUAACUGUCUUAAUAGUUUACAUUGAAGUUAACCUUUAAGUGAAGAGGCUUAAAUAAUUCUUAAAGACGAUAAGACCCUAUAAAACUUUACAUAUAUUUAACUAAAAUUUUAAUUAUUUGUUAAUGAUUUUUUUUAAAUUUGUGUUUCAUUGGGGAGAUGAAAGUAUAAAACUAGCUGCUUAAUUUUUAAUACAAAAUAUUUGAGACUUAAUUGAUCCUUAAUAAAGAUAAAAGAAAAGUUACUUUAGGGAUAACAGCGUUAUUUUUUUUGAGAGUCCUUAUCGACAAAAAAGUUUGCGACCUCGAUGUUGAAUUAAAAUCUCUUUAUAAUGUAGCAGUUAUAAAAGUAAGUCUGUUCGACUUUUAAAAUUUUACAUGAUUUGAGUUCAAACCGGCGUAAGCCAGGUUGGUUUCUAUC